AUUUCUGACCAGUUUUACUUAAAUUUGAAUAAUAUAGUGUUAAAAAUAGUAUUUUUUUUUUUCAUGUCAAAAACUAAACUAGUAAAACAAGGUAUUUCGUUAAAUAGAUAUUUCAAAAUGUAUUGUUCUCAAAGUUAAAAAAAUAUUUUCAUUAAAAUAACUAAUUUUUUAAGUUUUUUAGAAAUAAUAAUACUAGACAUGUAGAAAAUUAAAAACAAAACAUUUUAGGCUUUUUCUUUUUAAUUUUCCUAUAAUCGCUUACUUCUAUUUCAGCAAUCGUUCAUUUACUGUACCUUCAACUAGUGGAUUUGUUACUAACAACAGAAACCAGUCACAGUUAAGAGCAUUUUGUAUGGCCGAGGAUGAAGCAGAAAUGUUGAGCCAGAGCAGUAUAUCUGAAAUGCAAAGUGAUACUCCUAAUCAGAGACUCAAGGAAAUUAAUAGGCGCAACACUCUGUGCCUGCCUCACCUGAAGAGUCAAUAUCCUCUUGAAUUGAAUACAACACCUUCGCAGCACAAAUAUUUUCGACCACCGGCCACGCCAUCAUGUUCAAAAGAAAGUA